AUUGCUGCAACCUGCAUAGCAUAGGGUCUGAAGCCAGGGAGAGUGGUAGGAGAUGAAGAAAAAAUGACAGAGACCACAAUUAUUCUUUAAGUUUGGGACCAGGUGGCACCAUAGUUUGUGGGGAGUUAAUGACCAGCUGGAGCACCACACACUCUUUAUUUAUAGUGGAAGGCAAACAGGAAGAGAAGGCGGGGCAAAGAGUGCUCCGUGGCCUAUGUGGCCUAGACAGAACGUAGCAUGAUUGUUUUGUGAUUCCGGCAUUCCCAGAAAGGGAGCAGAGAAGGAUAUACAAUGUAACUGUCUCUUGGGCUGUGCUAUCCAGGGUCUACAGUAUGAGUCAAGGGGAGUAGGGAGGAGAAAAGGAGCAGGGAGGAGACAAAGGGCCAUCUUCAGGCUUGGCCCACGGCAUCUACCCCUUUUCUUGUUUGUAAUGUGAGGUGAUUCCAAAGUUGUCCCAAAGCGAGGUGAAGCAGUUGUUGCUAGAACAUUCUGCAGCAGACUAGAAACAAGACAAUCAGUAUAAUCAAGGCAAUUAAGAGUGCAAGCACAACCACAGUGUGCCUGCCAAUAUUGAAAGGAUUGAACCCAUCGAGGAGGAACAGCACUGCUUGAGCAGCUUCAUCUGGGUUUGGAGACCAAAACUAGAAAGAUAACUGGGCUAUGAGGACAGUCAAUAUCUUGGCCCCAGCCUCUCAAGGUCAACAAAGAUCCAGGACAUGAGGGAACCUUCUCUGCAGGGUCCUACAUCUUUGAAACACAUGAGGACAUUUACCAACCAGACAGUCAUGGAGCUCAUCAUGGUGGGGUACCAGCCACUGUGGCAGAGGGAAAAGCCCCCACCUACCGCUGGCCACAUCAGAUCCAGGUUUACCCCUACCCUUUGCCCAUUUGUCAGCUUGAAACAGCUCCAGAAGAAGAGACCUUCACCCAACAACCAUAAAACAAGAGCCUGGAAUGAUAGAUUUCCCUCCAAUUUAAGGUGGCUGCUGUAUAUAAUACCUACCUUCUUUCCAACAUGCCCCUACUCCCACCAAAAGAGUAACCUAAUACUUGCUCUCCU